rnacentral:lncRNA from 1 species
UUGAGCAUAAGGUCACCUUCUCGGAACACACGAGGCUUGACCUUCUUAUCGAAUGCUUUCUUCCUUCUCUGCUGAUAUAACUGACCAUGACACAUGGCCGUUAAUCUCUUCUUUUCGAUCACAUUCACUUGGUCGUAACGACUCUGAAUCCAUUCAGCAUCAGUCAACUUGGGAUUUGUGGGUGCUAUUUUUCUUCUGUAUCUUUCUUUCUUUUUUCCUUUCUUUUGAUUUUGAUUUUGAUUUUUUCACCCUCCUAUUUUUUUUUCUUU